GCACCAGUGGGGAAUAUUGGGCAAUGGAGGAAACUCUGACCCAGCGACGCCGCGUGCGGGAUGAAGGCCUUCGGGUUGUAAACCGCUUUCAGUAGGGAAGAAGCGAAAGUGACGGUACCUACAAAAGAAGCACCGGCUAACUAUGUGCCAGCAGCCGCGGUAAUACAUAGGGUGCAAGCGUUGUCCGGAAUUAUUGGGCGUAAAGAGCUCGUAGGUCGUUUGUUACGUCGGAUGUGAAAACCUGAGGCUCAACCUCAGGCCUGCAUUCGAUACGGGCCAAACUAGAGUUUGGUAGGGGAGACUGGAAUUCCUGGUGUAGCGGUGGAAUGCGCAGAUAUCAGGAGGAACACCAAUGGCGAAGGCAGGUCUCUGGGCCAAUACUGACACUGAGGAGCGAAAGUCUGGGGAGCGAACAGGAUUA
rnacentral:rRNA from 1 species